rnacentral:rRNA from 1 species
GUCUUUUUGAUUAUAAUUUAAAGUCUAACCUGCCCACUGAAAUUUUUGAAGGGCCGCGGUAUUUUGACUGUGCAAAGGUAGCAUAAUCAUUAGUCUUUUAAUUGAAGGCUUGUAUGAAUGGUUGGAUGAGGUAUUAACUGUCUCAAUUUAAUAAAUAACAGAAUUUUAUUUUUAAGUUAAAAAGCUUAAAUGAAGUUAAAAGACGAGAAGACCCUAUAGAUCUUUAUAAUUAAUUUUAUUAUAAUUUUUUAGAUGAAAUUUAUUUUUAUAAAAUUAAUUAUUUUAUUGGGGUGAUGAAAAAAUUUAAAAAACUUUUUUUGUAUAUAAACAAUUAUAUUUGGUUAAUUGAUCCAUUUUUUGUGAUUAUAAGAUUAAGUUACCUUAGGGAUAACAGCGUAAUUUUUUUGGAGAGUUCUUAUCGAUAAAAAAGAUUGCGACCUCGAUGUUGAAUUAAAGGUUAAUUUUAGGUGUAGAAGUUUAAAAUUUUGGUCUGUUCGACCAUUAAAUC